GUAUUGGCAAUGGGGGCACCUUGNUCCAGCCAUGCCGCGUGUGUGAAGAAGGCCUUUUGGUUGUAAAGCACUUUAAGCAGGGAGGAGAGGCUAAUGGUUAAUACCCAUUAGAUUAGACGUUACCUGCAGAAUAAGCACCGGCUAACUCUGUGCCAGCAGCCGCGGUAAUACAGAGGGUGCGAGCGUUAAUCGGAAUUACUGGGCGUAAAGCGAGUGUAGGUGGCUCAUUAAGUCACAUGUGAAAUCCCCGGGCUUAACCUGGGAACUGCAUGUGAUACUGGUGGUGCUAGAAUAUGUGAGAGGGAAGUAGAAUUCCAGGUGUAGCGGUGAAAUGCGUAGAGAUCUGGAGGAAUACCGAUGGCGAAGCCAGCUUCCUGGCAUAAUAUUGACACUGAGAUUCGAAAGCGUGGGUAGCAAACAGGAUUAGAUACCCUGGUAGUCCAAGG
rnacentral:rRNA from 1 species